CCCCUCUCAGGGUCGCACCUGGAGAGUUUCCGGUACUUUUCCAGUCUUGACUACAGGAGGGAGAGUCAAGCAGAGACCUACCCAUUCCAUUCCUAGCUUGGCCAGUGGUUAGGGAGGGGAAGGCCAUCUGCUACAGUC